rnacentral:rRNA from 1 species
AUGCUAGAAAGAUUAUCCAAACAUACACAUUUUUGCUUUCUAGAUGGUUACUCUGGUUUCUCUCAAAUACCUGUGUCAGCUGAUGAUCAAGCAAAGACCACUUUUACUUGCCCUUUCGGUACCUUUGCUUAUAGACGUAUGCCUUUUGGUUUAUGUAAUGCACCUGCUACCUUUCAAAGAUGCAUGAUGGCUAUAUUCUCUAACUUAUGUGAAAAGAUUUGCGAGGUUUUCAUGGAUGAUUUCUCCAUUUAUGGAUCCUCUUUUGAUGAUUUCUUGAGCAACCUUGAUCGAGUUUUGCAGAGAUGUACAGAAACUAAUCUUGUCUUGAAUUGGGAGAAGUGCCACUUUAUGGUUAAUGAAGGUAUUGUCUUGGGGCAGAAAAUUUCUGGAAGAGGUAUUGAAGUUGACAAAGCUAAAGUUGAUGCUAUUGAAAAGAUGUCGUGUCCCAAGGACAUCAAAGGUAUAAGAAGUUUUUUGGGUCAUGCCAGUUUUUAUAGGAGGUUCAUUAAGGACUUCUCAAAAAUUUAUCGGCCUCUGACUAACCUAUUAUAA